rnacentral:tRNA from 1 species
GGGCCCGUAGCUCAACGGCCAGAGCAGCCGGCUCAUAACCGGUUCGAUGCAGGUUCGAAUCCUGCCGGGCCCA